rnacentral:tRNA from 2 species
ACCCAGCUAGCUCAGUCAGUAGAGCAUGAGACUCUUAAUCUCAGGGUUCUGGGUUCAAGCCCCAUGUUGGGUG